rnacentral:rRNA from 1 species
UACCAGCACCCCGAGUGGUCGGGACGAUUAUUGGGCCUAAAGCAUCCGUAGCCGGUUUUACAAGUCCUCCGUUAAAUCCAACUGCUUAACAGGUGGGCCGCGGAGGAUACUAUAAGACUAGGAGGCAGGAGAGGCAAGCGGUACUCAGUGGGUAGGGGUAAAAUCCGUUGAUCCAUUGAAGACCACCAGUGGCGAAGGCGGCUUGCCAGAAUGCGCUCGACGGUGAGGGAUGAAAGCUGGGGGAGCAAACCGG